GAUGAAGAACGCAGCGAAAUGCGAUAAGUAGUGUGAAUUGCAGAAUUCAGUGAAUCAUCGAAUCUUUGAACGCACAUUGCGCCCCUUGGUAUUCCAUGGGGCAUGCCUGUUCGAGCGUCAUUUGUACCUUCAAGCUUUGCUUGGUGUUGGGUGUUUGUCUCGCCUUUGCGUGUAGACUCGACUUAAAAUAAUUGGCAGCCGGCGUAUUGAUUUCGGAGCGCAGUACAUCUCGCGCUUUGCACUCAUAACGACAGCGUCCAAAAGUACAUUUUACACUCUUGACCUCGGAUCAGGUAGGGAUACCCGCUGAACUUAAGCAUAUCAAUAAGCGGAGGA
rnacentral:misc_RNA from 1 species